rnacentral:tRNA from 1 species
UCCUUGGUGGCUUAAAUGGUAAAGUGUCUGCCUGCAAUGUGGGAGACCCGGGUUUGAUCCCUGGGUUGGGAA